GAUGAACGUAGCGAAAUGCGAUAAGUAGUGUGAAUUGCAGAAUUCAGUGAAUCAUCGAAUCUUUGAACGCACAUUGCGCCCCUUGGUAUUCCAUGGGGCAUGCCUGUUCGAGCGUCAUUUGUACCUUCAAGCUCUGCUUGGUGUUGGGUGUUUGUCUCGCCUCUGCGUGUAGACUCGCCUCAAAACAAUUGGCAGCCGGCGUAUUGAUUUCGGAGCGCAGUACAUCUCGCGCUUUGCACUCAUAACGACGACGUCCAAAAGUACAUUUUUACACUCUUGACCUCGGAUCAGGUAGGGAUACCCGCUGAACUUAAGCAUAUCAAUAAGCGGAGGA
rnacentral:misc_RNA from 1 species